rnacentral:rRNA from 1 species
GAUCCUGGCUCAGAUUGAACGCUGGCGGCAGGCCUAACACAUGCAAGUCGAACGGUAACAGGAAGAAGCUUGCUUCUUUGCUGACGAGUGGCGGACGGGUGAGUAAUGUCUGGGAAACUGCCUGAUGGAGGGGGAUAACUACUGGAAACGGUAGCUAAUACCGCAUAACGUCGCAAGACCAAAGAGGGGGGACCUUCGGGCCUCUUGCCAUCGGAUGUGCCCAGAUGGGAUUAGCUCGUAGGUGGGGG